ACUCCUACGGGAGGCAGCAGUAGGGAAUCUUCCACAAUGGGCGCAAGCCUGAUGGAGCAACACCGCGUGAGUGAAGAAGGGUUUCGGCUCGUAAAGCUCUGUUGUUAAAGAAGAACACGUAUGAGAGUAACUGUUCAUACGUUGACGGUAUUUAACCAGAAAGUCACGGCUAACUACGUGCCAGCAGCCGCGGUAAUACGUAGGUGGCAGGCGUUAUCCGGAUUUAUUGGGCGUAAAGAGAGUGCAGGCGGUUUUCUAAGUCUGAUGUGAAAGCCUUCGGCUUAACCGGAGAAGUGCAUCGGAAACUGGAUAACUUGAGUGCAGAAGAGGGUAGUGGAACUCCAUGUGCAGCGGUGGAAUGCGUAGAUAUAUGGAAGAACACCAGUGGCGAAGGCGGCUACCUGGUCUGCAACUGACGCUGAGACUCGAAAGCAUGGGUAGCGAACAGGAUUAGAUACCCUGGUAGGAUAGCG
rnacentral:rRNA from 1 species